UGGGGAAUCUUCGGCAAUGGGGGCAACCCUGACCGAGCAACGCCGCGUGAGUGAAGAAGGUUUUCGGAUCGUAAAGCUCUGUUGUAAGAGAAGAACGAGUGUGAGAGUGGAAAGUUCACACUGUGACGGUAACUUACCAGAAAGGGACGGCUAACUACGUGCCAGCAGCCGCGGUAAUACGUAGGUCCCGAGCGUUAUCCGGAUUUAUUGGGCGUAAAGCGAGCGCAGGCGGUUAGAUAAGUCUGAAGUUAAAGGCUGUGGCUUAACCAUAGUACGCUUUGGAAACUGUUUAACUUGAGUGCAGAAGGGGAGAGUGGAAUUCCAUGUGUAGCGGUGAAAUGCGUAGAUAUAUGGAGGAACACCGGUGGCGAAAGCGGCUCUCUGGUCUGUAACUGACGCUGAGGCUCGAAAGCGUGGGGAGCAAACAGGAUUAGAUACCCUGGUAGUCCACGCCGUAAACGAUGAGUGCUAGGUGUUGGGUCCUUUCCGGGACUCAGUGCCGCAGCUAACGCAUUAAGCACUCCGCCUGGGGAGUACGACCGCAAGGUUG
rnacentral:rRNA from 1 species